UGGGGAAUAUUGCACAAUGGGCGAAAGCCUGAUGCAGCGACGCCGCGUGAGGGAUGACGGCCUUCGGGCUGUAAACCUCUUUCAGCAGGGAAGAAGCGAAAGUGACGGUACCUGCAGAAGAAGCGCCGGCUAACUACGUGCCAGCAGCCGCGGUAAUACGUAGGGCGCAAGCGUUGUCCGGAAUUAUUGGGCGUAAAGAGCUCGUAGGCGGUUAGUCGCGUCUGCUGUGAAAACUCGAGGCUCAACCUCGGGCUUGCAGUGGGUACGGGCUGACUAGAGUGCGGUAGGGGUGACUGGAAUUCCUGGUGUAGCGGUGGAAUGCGCAGAUAUCAGGAGGAACACCGAUGGCGAAGGCAGGUCACUGGGCCGCAACUGACGCUGAGGAGCGAAAGCAUGGGGAGCGAACAGGAUUAGAUAGCCCUGGUAGUCCAUGCCGUAAACGUUGGGCACUAGGUGUGGGUCCAUUCCACGGAUUCCGUGCCGCAGCAAAGCGCAUUAAGUGCCCCGCCUGGGGAGUACGGCCGCAAGGCUAAAACUCAAAGGAAUUGACGGGGUCAUAGCUGUUUCCU
rnacentral:rRNA from 1 species